ACCCUUGUGGAGGAGGACGCCGAAGGUGGGGCUAAUGACUGGGGUGAAGUCGUAACAAGGUAGCCGUACCGGAAGGUGCGGCUGGAUCACCUCCUAACAGGGAGACAACAAAAUGUUUAAUAUUAUUAUUUUGUCACCUUAGGUCGAUCGGUAUCUCACGUUCUUAAUUUAUUAAGAAUUUCAUUUCCUAAGUUUUUCUAGGUCACACCCAUUAUUUUUCCUGGGCCAUUAGCUCAGGUGGUUAGAGCGCACCCCUGAUAAGGGUGAGGUCCCUGGUUCAAGUCCAGGAUGGCCCAUAUCUCUAUGUUGGGGGUAUAGCUCAGUUGGUAGAGCGCCUGCUUUGCAAGCAGGAUGUCAGCGGUUCGAGUCCGCUUACCUCCACUGAUUACCACCUCUUCCAUAAUUUGUAGAAGGGAAUGUUUUGAGUUGUGAUCAAAUUCUGAACGAAUCUAGCUUCCUAAUGAAAUUAUUAAGAUGCUGGACUCAUUGAAUUAAUUUCAUUGUUUUCAGAGAACCUUGACAACUGCAUAGAUUAUUUUUAUAGACAAUAAGCAUCUUUAAUGAUGCAGAUUUAUUAUUUGUGCGAAUGCAUUAAUAACAAUUCUAUUAAGCUGAUGCUUCAAUUAUGAAGUUAUUGGUCAAGCUACAAAGGGCUCACGGAGGAUACCUAGGCACACAGAGGCGAU
rnacentral:misc_RNA from 1 species